AGCAUUAUCCGUGAAACUGCGAAUGGCUCAUUAAAUCAGUUAUCGUUUAUUUGAUAGUACCUUACUACUUGGAUAACCGUGGUAAUUCUAGAGCUAAUACAUGCUGAAAACCUCAACUUCGGAAGGGGUGUAUUUAUUAGAUAAAAAACCAAUGCCCCUUGGGGCUUCUUGGUGAUUCAUGAUAACUUCUCAGAUCGCAUGGCCUUGCGCCGGCGACGGUUCAUUCAAAUUUCUGCCCUAUCAACUUUCGAUGGUAAGGUAUUGGCUUACCAUGGUUUCAACGGGUAACGGGGAAUUAGGGUUCGAUUCCGGAGAGGGAGCCUGAGAAACGGCUACCACAUCCAAGGAAGGCAGCAGGCGCGCAAAUUACCCAAUCCCGACACGGGGAGGUAGUGACAAUAAAUACUGAUACAGGGCUCUUUUGGGUCUUGUAAUUGGAAUGAGUACAAUUUAAACCUCUUAACGAGGAACAAUUGGAGGGCAAGUCUGGUGCCAGCAGCCGCGGUAAUUCCAGCUCCAAUAGCGUAUAUUAAAGUUGUUGCAGUUAAAAAGCUCGUAGUUGAACCUUGGGCCUGGCUGGCAGGUCCGCCUCACCGCGUGUACUUGACCGGCCGGGCCUUCUCUUCUGGAGAACCUCAUGCCCUUUACUGGGCGUGUUGGGGACCAGGACUUUUACUUUGAAAAAAUUAGAGUGUUCAAAGCAGGCCUUUGCUCGAAUAUGUUAGCAUGGAAUAAUAGAAUAGGACGUGCGAUCCUAUUUUGUUGGUUUCUAGGAUCGCCGUAAUGAUUAAUAGGGACAGUCGGGGGCAUCAGUAUUCAAUUGUCAGAGGUGAAAUUCUUGGAUUUAUUGAAGACUAACUACUGCGAAAGCAUUUGCCAAGGAUGUUUUCAUUAAUCAGUGAACGAAAGUUAGGGGAUCGAAGACGAUCAGAUACCGUCGUAGUCUUAACCAUAAACUAUGCCGACUAGGGAUCGGGCGGUGUUUCAAUAUUGACUCGCUCGGCACCUUACGAGAAAUCAAAGUGUUGGU
rnacentral:rRNA from 1 species